UGGGGAAUAUUGCACAAUGGAGGGAACUCUGAUGCAGCGACGCCGCGUGAACGAAGAAGGCUUUCGAGUCGUAAAGUUCUUUUAUAUGGGAAGAUAAUGACGGUACCAUAAGAAAAAGCCCCGGCUAACUACGUGCCAGCAGCCGCGGUAAUACGUAGGGGGCUAGCGUUGUCCGGAAUCACUGGGCGUAAAGGGUUCGCAGGCGGAAAUGCAAGUCAGGUGUAAAAGGCAGUAGCUUAACUACUGUAAGCAUUUGAAACUGCAUAUCUUGAGAAGAGUAGAGGUAAGUGGAAUUUUUAGUGUAGCGGUGAAAUGCGUAGAUAUUAAAAAGAAUACCGGUGGCGAAGGCGACUUACUGGGCUCAUUCUGACGCUGAGGAACGAUAGCGUGGGUAGCAAACAGG
rnacentral:rRNA from 2 species